GAAAAUAAUUAAAAGAAAAUUUUCGGAAAAGCCUUGCAGUUGCAGCGCCGCUCCUCACGUCUCCCACUAACACUGCUGAGUGCUGCCUGCUCUUUGACGACUCAACCUCGAAUGCCCGUUAUUUCUAAUUGUCCAUGUUGCCGUGAUCGUCAGUUGUCUCUCAUCUCCUCUCCUCUCCUCUCUUCUCUCAUGCUCAUUCAUAUAUUGUGUUGAUCUUUGAUUAUAGUUUAGUAUUGUCAAUUGUGCGAAUUUGAUUCGAUGUGGGUGGAUUUCGUUUGGGUCUGUUUAGGGCUCAAGAUCUAAUUUUGAUUUGGUUUUCUUUCUGGGUUUUUCAGAGUGUGAUUACACUGUUUCUAUGGCGUGGAAACCCAUCUUGAUCAAGCUCAAGGAUUUGCAGAAGGAUCCCCUACAUUUGACUCAUUUGAUGGUGAUGGCUGCUGGGGUCUAUAGCAAUUCGUUGGGUUAUCGGGUUUAUUGGUUUCAGUUUUCAAGUUACUCCUUUCUAUAAUUUUAUUCCUCCAAAUCUUCUUGAUUCAAUUAGGAUCAUGAUGCAUCAUGGUUUUAUUGAUGUGUUUUAGGUUUGGCUGGUGGAGGCUGCAGUCCGGAAUUAGAAUGGGCAGAGCUUCUGCUUUAUUGGUUUCCACUAUCUUGCUUUCAAACUUUUUUCUUUUACUUGCCUUUUUGGCUGCCUACUAUGAUCUAAGUUAUAUUGAUUUGUGGUGGUGAUGAUUUACAAUAGUUUUUGUUCCAGGCUUUAUUGGCUUCACCGUUUCAGUGAUCAACUCAUUCCUUCUCAUUUUAUAUUCUGCUUCCUUAUUUUGGGCCACGUCUUAGAUUUCAGUGGAUUAAGUUUCCAUUGCUCUGUUUUAUGCUGUUGGUUAUGGUUAGCUCCAUGUGCUGUGGCUUUUUUGGUUUCCAAGCUGAACUGUCUUCUUAUUUUCAUAGUAUUAUUAUUGGUGUAUUUUGGCUGAUAGUUUGGAUAGCUGCAACUGCUGGACAGGACUUAAAUUGUGUGUUUCAGCUUUAUUUGGUUUCGGCAAUCAACUUUUCCUUUCUUUAAUUAUUUAUGACUCCAAUCUGGGAAGAAAUUUUAAACUUAGCAUGCAGUCUUUGUUGAAGAUGAACUGGAACCUUGUGGUCCAUCUUGGUGAAGCUUAUUCUUAUGACUAAAAUUUGGAAAACAUAUUGCUAUGGAAAGCUUCUAUUGGAACCGAAGAGUAGCCUCUUAAAUGAAGAAGUAUAUGAAUUGUAAUUAAAAGUGAAAAGUUAUUCAGACCAUACAGUAAAUAUCUUGGCGAAUAUGGGUAGAGCCGUAGAGGUCAUGAAGGGCAGAGCAAUUCAUUGUUUGGUCUAUGAUCCUAGAGGCAGAGAUCUCUUCUGCUGAGCUGACAAGUACAAUGGAAAAGCUUUUGAGGAACAUAGAGCAGAUUGAGGGUCAAGUUGCUACUGUCCAAGGCUAUACUGUAUAUAAUUAUGGUGAUGGAUGAUGAUAUGCCUGAGGAUAAGGACGAGGAAGAACACGAAGAUGAGGAAGUAGUUUAUGAGGCCACAAUUUUAAUAUUUUGAUUUGGUAGUAUCUUUUAGUGAACAUGUUUAUGUUGUUGUCUAUUUAGUACAUUGAUGUUGGAUAUUGGUUAAUCAAUGCUACAUCUCCAUAUAUUUUUUCUUGGAAUAAAAGUGAGCGCUUCAAUUUGACUAU